AUCCGACCACUGGAUGCCAGAAGAAGCUCGAGAUCGAUGACGAUCAGAAACUCCGGGCAUUUUAUGACAAGAGAAUAUCUCAAGAAGUCAGUGGGGAUGCCUUGGGUGAGGAAUUCAAAGGCUAUGUAUUCAAGAUCAUGUGAGGGUAUGAUAAGCAAGGAUUUCCCAUGAAGCAGGGAGUGCUAACUCCUGGCCGUGUCCGCCUUCUGUUGCAUAGGGGUACUCCUUGCUUUCGUGGGUAUGGCAGACGUAACGGAGAGCGCAGGAGGAAGUUUGUUCGUGGGUAUGG